CAGUAGCCGCGGGAAUACGGAGGGCGCGAGCGUUACCCGGAUUUACUGGGCGUAAAGGGCGUGUAGGCGGCCUGGGGCGUCCCAUGUGAAAGGCCACGGCUCGACCGUGGAGGAGCGUGGGAUACGCUCAGGCUAGAGGGUGGGAGAGGGUGGUGGAAUUCCCGGAGUAGCGGUGAAAUGCGCAGAUACCGGGAGGAACGCCGAUGGCGAAGGCAGCCACCUGGUCCACUUCUGACGCUGAGGCGCGAAAGCGUGGGGAGCAAACCGGAUUAGAUACCCGCGUAGUCCCUGUCUCUUAUAC
rnacentral:rRNA from 1 species